rnacentral:rRNA from 1 species
GACGAACGCUGGCGGCGUGCUUAACACAUGCAAGUCGAACGGAAAGGCCCUGCUUUUGUGGGGUGCUCGAGUGGCGAACGGGUGUGUAACACGUGAGUAACCUGCCCUUGACUUUGGGAUAACUUCAGGAAACUGGGGCCAAUACCGGAUAGGAGCUCCUGCUGCAUGGGCGGGGUUGGAAAGUUUCGGCGGUUGGGGAUGGACUCGCGGCUUAUCAGCUUGUUGGUGGGGUAGUGGCUUACCAAGGCUUUGACGGGUAGCCGGCCUGAGUGGGUGACCGGCCACAUUGGGCCUGAGAUGCGGCCCAGACUCCUACGGGAGGCAGCAGUGGGGAAUAUUGCACAAAGGGCGGAAGCCUGAUGCAGCAACGCCGCGUGCGGGAUGACGGCCUUCGGGUUGUAAACCGCUUUCGCCUGUGACGAAGCGUGAGUGACGGUAAUGGGUAAAGAAGCACCGGCUAACUACGUG